CCUACGGGAGGCAGCAGUGAGGAAUAUUGGUCAAUGGACGAGAGUCUGAACCAGCCAAGUAGCGUGAAGGAUGACUGCCCUAUGGGUUGUAAACUUCUUUUAUAUGGGAAUAAAACGUUCCACGUGUGGGAUUUUGUAUGUACCAUAUGAAUAAGGUUCGGCUAACUCCGUGCCAGCAGCCGCGGUAAUACGGAGGAUCCGAGCGUUAUCCGGAUUUAUUGGGUUUAAAGGGAGCGUAGGUGGAUUGUUAAGUCAGUUGUGAAAGUCCGCGGCUCAACCGUGGAAUUGCAGUUGAAACUGGAGGCCUGGAGUGCACACAGGGAUGCCGGAAUUCAUGGUGUAGCGGUGAAAUGCUUAGAUAGCAUGAAGAACUCCGAUCGCGAAGGCAAGUGGCCGGGGUGCAACUGACGCUGAGGCUCGAAAGUGCGGGUAUCAAACAGGAUUAGAUACCCGAGUAGGC
rnacentral:rRNA from 1 species